ensembl:lncRNA
AUGCAGCAGCAUGGUGCUAACGUUUACCAAAAAAAAACCCCUGGUACUGAGAAUAAUACGCUUCUGCAAUGUCUUGUAAAUUCUGAGUCUGGCCGUGAUCUGAUUUUGUGUACAGCUCUUAACCUCCUUGCCUCCCCAAGUCUGAUGAAGGACGGAAAGCAAAAGGCGGGAUCGCAGACACGGCUGAGUCAGCAUGCUGGGCAAGGAGAGCAGAAGGGUGGUGAUGUUGCCUGGGAGCUGUUGGGUCAGCGUGAGGAGAGCGACACAGUGCCGUUUCUUCGCAGACCGCCCUUGCCCUCUGGAAGGUUACUCUGGAUAGCCGCUUGGCAGCCUUUUGGCGUGUUCUGGAGCAGAGAUCUCUGCCACAAAGUAAAACCAGAUGUUUUCUAGCUGACUCCAGAAAACAUCCUCUCAACAGAGCAGAGGAGCGCUGCUACGUGGCCACCUAAUGCCGGCCAAGCUCUCUCUCUGGCACCUUGUUUGCCCUCACCACGCAUGGAAGGACGCGGCCACAGCUAGCACGCUGCAGCGGUUGGACUGAAGGAUGAUGUCAGUGUACAGAGCUGGGGACGGAGAGCCGUGGCGGGGAGAGGUGCGCAGCCCUGACAGUCUGGAGUGCUGGGCUAUUGGGUGCGAAAUUAUGCAGGUGGGGAAUUUAAAAGCAGGGGAAAAACCUGUCUUAGAAAAUGCAGCCUUAACCUUGUUUAGAGCUGCCGUUCUGGAACUGUAAAUACUGGCAGAGACUGAGCUCCCGUCAGCCUGAAUGAGUUGUUGUGUUAAGCAGAGCCGUUUGUUACGGGGUGGCUGUGUCUAUCCAAGGGUCCGGCACUGCUUUCCUGAAGGUGCAGGCUUGGUGCAGGCUCCAGCUGAGUUAGGCUUUGGCUGCCCUGGGGUGCUUGAUAUGCAUUUCUGAAGGGCAUGCCUUCAAGGUGGGCUAGUGAGACCACAUUAAAGCCCCUUGCGGUCACACGUGCCCGGAUUUCAGGUGCAUGGUUCCCAACACAAGUUGCACUAAAUUGGUUUAGGGGGCGUUCGAAUUUGGAAAAAAAACUUCUUGGGGUUUGGUUGGACUGUCUGGAUGCAGAUCAGCUGUCCCUGGCGUGUUAGCGUAGACGGGGCUUUGGCAGGCGCACUGGCCAGAUGGGGCAUUGGGGUUUGUUUGACACGGUGGUGCCAAGUCUGCGUGUUGCAAACUGAGAAAAGGUGCUUGCGUUUCCAGGCUAGGAAAACUCUUAGACUAGAAAAAGGACGGAGGAAGGGAACAAAACAGGCAGAAAAUUGAAAACCAAAGCAGAAGGGCCUGUAGUCACGCUGGACUGAAACCAAUUCUCCCGGGUCACACAGGUCUCCAUAAACCCGUGUGCUGCGCUUCUCCACUCUUGCUCAGUCUGAGGGUUAAAAUGUGAAGCAAAAUGGCCCUCAAACGGUUAAGUUUCACAUUCCUCACUUUAGGUUAGUCUUAAUCUUCUGUAGGAGACGUUCGUGGUAAUUCAAAAUGAAUAGUGAAGGCUCUGCUAUCGUCUUGAGUUUUGGCUGUCGGGAGGGAGCAAGGUUUGCCAAGUUGGCUCAGGGAAUAAAAAUAGUCCGUUUCAGUGAUGAGAUCA